CCAGCAGGGACCACGUUCACUUCCGCCCAGCUGUCUUCCUUCAGCUUUGACAUUGCCCUGCCACCCAGAGAGAAACUCCUGCCUGAGCUGUGCCCGAUGGGGAGAGGAGGACACAGCAUGUGCAGGGAAGAUGCUUCCAGGCAGAUAGGACUCUCUGGCGUGAUCUGCCCAGGGGGGCAACCUCUCUUCUCCGCAGGUUCACAUGUCCAGUCUGACCCGUGACAUUCGACAGUGGAGGCUGGAGACAGAAGUCCAAAUGGAAAAGGAAUGUUCUGGCUUGUUAGCUGAUAAAGGUCCAGUUGGGAGUUUUGGAGACCCAGCCUGACAAGGAGCCCUGGCUCUCUUAACUUUUGAUGAUUGUGUUACAAAUUGAGGAGAUGCAGCUAUGACAUUUAAAGAAACUUUAACACGCCUGGAUGUGGUGUGCAUACCUAAAUAUAUUUAAAUAUUUGAUUCAGAAAA